rnacentral:rRNA from 1 species
AGAAAUCUCACCAGGCCCGGACACUGGAAGGAUUGACAGAUUGAUAGCUCUUCCUUGAUUCGGUGGGUGGUGUUGCAUGGCCGUUCUUAGUUGGUGGAGUGAUUUGUCUGGUUAAUUCCGUUAACGAACGAGACCUUAACCUGCUAAAUAGUGACGCGGUUCAUCGAACCGUGGGCCACUUCUUAGAGGGACUAUCGGAUUCAAACCGAUGGAAGUGUGAGGCAAUAA